CCCUCACUGCCCACCGGCGCGACCUCCGCUUGGUGGCGAAGAUAGCAGCGGCUGGUGCCGUCGCCGCCGAUUUAGCUAUGUUUGUGUGCCGGGGCGGUGGUCUCGGUAGGCCGAAUGGCAGGGUACAAGGAGGCCAGGAGGAAGAAGAGGAGGAGCAGGAGAGGCCCGCCACUGAGGGGACGCGAGAUGUAGAAGGUGCAGGGGAGGCCGUUGGUGGCGGAGACGCUGGUGGUGCGCAAGGCAGGGAUGUGCCUGCCGAGCCCCCCCGACGGCGAUGGGUCUGGGCGCUGGUGCUUAUGGUUUAACUGCUAUUGUCGUUGGAACCAUUGGCUAUUUAUGCGUAGAUGGAAGGGAUGGAAAAUUUCUGAUAUGAUGUUUGUGACCAAGCGUGGCUUGGCUGAUGGGUGCAACAUAGCUGCCAAACAAUUGGAUCAGGUUUCAAAAAAUGUUCAUGUAAGACUUUUUUUCCCUAUAUUCAGUAAAUAGUUCAACCACUUGCUCGGAGAGGGGUUGUCGAGGAUGAUGGCGACGAGCAAGUCGGUGUCCGUGAAGCCGAAGCCAUUCUAGCUCUUCAAAUCCACAAGGAGAGCCUUGACGGGCUGUAUGAGUGGGACAAGAAGCUCUACGAGGAAGUCACGGCAGAGGAGCGUGUCCGGCUGUGGUACGACAAGAAAUGCGCGCAUCUGAGAGCCAGGACGCCAAUAGUGCAGAGCUAUUCGCCUUCAAGAUUACCAGGGCUGCCAUCAGGACCCCUGGACCAACCUCAGCAUCUCCCUCGCCUUCAAGAGGACUAGGGCUGCCAUCAGGACCUCCGGACCAAGCUCAACAUCUCCCUCUCCUCCGUCGACGCCGUGUCCCGGAGGGUUGUCGCCGUCCGCAACAACGAGCUGCUACCUGGUGCCUGCUGCCGUAGCUCGCUUAGCUCAUCCGAGGGUGCGUGUAUUUAUUGUAGUGUUCUGAAUCGAUCCCCAAGAACACUGAGGCUGCAGGUGUUUGAUGAAUGUUUCU